GUCAGAGUGGAAGGUUCUGAAUUUAUCUUGGCAACAAAGUAGAAGGUUUUAGAUUUGAGCAGUAUCCAACCAAAACUAUAGUUAAUGUGAAUGACCAUUGUGAGUUUGUUCUAACGGACACCACAACUCUUUUUUAAGCACUUGUUCUUUGUUUCACGCAAAAUCUGAUUGAAUUCUAAUGCAUGUUUCUAUAGAUCAUCGAGCCGCACAUUUUCGUUUUUAAAUUGGUGGCAGCAACCUCCUUAAAGGUGAAUAAUCGUACGUGGCAAACAGCAGGUCUACCCUCUACAGUUUUUACGCAGUUAGACUUGAUAAAGAAAACCAAGAUGCUUUUUUUCGAAACAAAUGGAGCCAAGUUGCAUACCAUUAAGUUGAAUGGGUCUUCUUUAUUUCAUACUAAAAUGUGCCGUUCUUCAGAGGAUGUUCCCAUAGAACAGGUUUGACGUAGCAACUGCUCAAGUUAAAUAAUUUACAUGCAUAACCUUGUGGUUAAGGGACGAGAUUAAUACCAGUUGAGAGGAAGUCUUUGUUCGGAUGCUUUGAACUCACAAAGUAUGAAAAAGUAAGUCAGAGCUGCUCCAACUACUUGCCCAUAGCCAGUAGUAACUUAAAAACAAACAGAGAACUUUUAAACUUGAAUUUUUAAACAAAUAGAAGGAUGGUCAUUCACGCGCCUACCUGCGGUAAAAGUUUCUUGUCGACAUUGAAAUAAUUGCCAUUGGCACUAAUUUGCGGAAUGGUCUGCGCCAUUUUUGUUACGAGAAACUCCGUCUGCGUAAAAAUAAUAGUAGGGGAGACUGGAGUAUGCCGGGAGUAUGCCGGGUCAAGAGGGACAGUAGGGGGAAAAUAGUAGAUUUUAAUAAAAUAAAAUUUUUUUUUAGUAU